UAGGGAAUCUUCGGCAAUGGACGGAAGUCUGACCGAGCAACGCCGCGUGAGUGAAGAAGGCUUUCGGAUCGUAAAGCUCUGUUGUUAGAGAAGAACGUUGGUAGGAGUGGAAAAUCUACUAAGUGACGGUAACUAACCAGAAAGGGACGGCUAACUACGUGCCAGCAGCCGCGGUAAUACGUAGGUCCCGAGCGUUGUCCGGAUUUAUUGGGCGUAAAGCGAGCCGAGGCGGUUCUUUAAGUCUGAAGUUAAAGGCAGUGGCUUAACCAUUGUACGCUUUGGAAACUGGAGGACUUGAGUGCAGAAGGGGGGAGUGGAAUUCCAUGUGUAGCGGUGAAAUGCGUAGAUAUAUGGAGGAACACCGGUGGCGAAGGCGGCUCUCUGGUCUGUAACUGACGCUGAGGCUCGAAAGCGUGGGGAGCAAACAGG
rnacentral:rRNA from 1 species